rnacentral:rRNA from 1 species
UACGGAGGGAGCUAGCGUUGUUCGGAAUUACUGGGCGUAAAGCGCGCGUAGGCGGCUUUGUAAGUUAGAGGUGAAAGCCCGGGGCUCAACCCCGGAACUGCCUUUAAAACUGCAUCGCUUGAAUCCGGGAGAGGUGAGUGGAAUUCCGAGUGUAGAGGUGAAAUUCGUAGAUAUUCGGAAGGAACACCAGUGGCGAAGGCGGCUACCUGGCCUAAUACUGACACUGAGGCACGAAAGCGUGGGGAGCAAACAGG